rnacentral:lncRNA from 1 species
CAAAAGCUUAGAUAGGAAGCAAAUAAAUAUAAUAUAGCAUGAUAAUUGCAAGAAUAUUAACGUGUCCAAAAGUUAAAGAGAGAAAGCAUAAAGAAGAAAGUGAUGAGCUCUGAGGGGUUGAGAGGAAGACCAACGCUUCUUAUCAUAAACACAAGUUCCUGCUAUACACAACACAUCCUUGAAUUCUAGGGAAGCCAAGAUGUACAUGAAAUGACUGCAGGUCUUAAAGGUCUUGAAC